GCUCACUUUUGCUUUGCAUAUACUAAAAUUGGAGUCACACAGAGAAGAUUAGAAUGGUUUCUGUGCAAGGAUGACACACAAAUUCACGAAGUAUUCUAUAUUUUU